GACGAACGCUGGCGGCGUGCUUAACACAUGCAAGUCGAACGGUAAGGCCCUUCGGGGUACACGAGUGGCGAACGGGUGAGUAACACGUGGGUGAUCUGCCCUGCACUUCGGGAUAAGCCUGGGAAACUGGGUCUAAUACCGGAUAGGACUCCUGGCUUCAUGGUUGGGGGUGGAAAGCGUUUGCGGUGUGGGAUGGGCCCGCGGCCUAUCAGCUUGUUGAUGGGGUGAUGGCCUACCAAGGCGACGACGGGUAGCCGGCCUGAGAGGGUGACCGGUCACACUGGGACUGAGAUACGGCCCAGACUCCUACGGGAGGCAGCAGUGGGGAAUAUUGCACAAUGGGCGCAAGCCUGAUGCAGCGACGCCGCGUGAGGGAUGACGGCCUUCGGGUUGUAAACCUCUUUCAGCUAUGACGAAGCGCAAGUGACGGUAGUAGCAGAAGAAGGACCGGCCAACUACGUGCCAGCAGCCGCAGUAA
rnacentral:rRNA from 1 species